CCGGAGGAAGUGGGGAUGACGUCAAGUCAUCAUGGCCCUUACGGCCUGGGCUACACACGUGCUACAAUGGUCGGUACAAAAGGGUUGCCAAGCCGCGAGGUGGAGCUAAUCCCAUAAAACCGAUCGUAGUCCGGAUCGCAGUCUGCAACUCGACUGCGUGAAGUCGGAAUCGCUAGUAAUCGUGAAUCAGAAUGUCACGGUGAAUACGUUCCCGGGCCUU
rnacentral:rRNA from 1 species